rnacentral:tRNA from 6 species
AGGAGUGUAGCUCAGUUGGUAGAGCAUCGGUCUCCAAAACCGAGGGUCGGGGGUUCGAGUCCCUCCACUCCUGCCA